AGUGAACGCUGGCGGUAGGCCUAACACAUGCAAGUCGAACGGCAGCACAGGAGAGCUUGCUCUCUGGGUGGCGAGUGGCGGACGGGUGAGGAAUACAUCGGAAUCUACUCUGUCGUGGGGGAUAACGUAGGGAAACUUACGCUAAUACCGCAUACGACCUACGGGUGAAAGCAGGGGAUCUUCGGACCUUGCGCGAUUGAAUGAGCCGAUGUCGGAUGAGCUAGUUGGCGGGGUAAAGGCCCACCAAGGCGACGGUCCGUAGCUGGUCUGUGAGGGUGUGCAGCCGCACUGGAACUGAGACACGGGCCAGACUCCUACGGGAGGCAGCAGUGGGGAGUAUUGGACAGUGGGCGCAAGCCUGAUCCAGCCAUACCGCGUGGGUGAAGAAGGCCUUCGGGUUGUAAAGCCCUUUUGUUGGGAAAGAAAUCCAGCUGGCUAAUACCCGGUUGGGAUGACGGUACCCAAAGAAUAAGCACCGGCUAACUUCGUGCCAGCCGCCGCAGUAA
rnacentral:rRNA from 1 species